rnacentral:misc_RNA from 1 species
GAUGAAGAACGCAGCGAAAUGCGAUAAGUAAUGUGAAUUGCAGAAUUCAGUGAAUCAUCGAAUCUUUGAACGCACAUUGCGCCCGCCAGUAUUCUGGCGGGCAUGCCUGUUCGAGCGUCAUUUCAACCAUCAAGCCCUGCUUGCGUUGGGGUCCUGCGGCUGCCCGCAGGCCCUGAAAACCAGUGGCGGGCUCGCUAGUCACACCGAGCGCAGUAAUACAUCUCGCUUUGGGCGUGCGGCGGGUUCUUGCCGUUAAACACCCCCUUUUUACCAAGGUUGACCUCGGAUCAGGUAGGAAUACCCGCUGAACUUAAGCAUAACAAUAAGCGGAGGA